rnacentral:tRNA from 1 species
UAGCUCAGUUGGUUGAGCAUGGUGCUGAUAACACCAGGGUAGUGGGUUCGAUUCCCAU